rnacentral:rRNA from 1 species
AGUGAACGCUGGCGGUAGGCCUAACACAUGCAAGUCGAACGGCAGCACAGUAAGAGCUUGCUCUUACGGGUGGCGAGUGGCGGACGGGUGAGGAAUACAUCGGAAUCUACUUUUUCGUGGGGGAUAACGUAGGGAAACUUACGCUAAUACCGCAUACGACCUACGGGUGAAAGCAGGGGAUCUUCGGACCUUGCGCGUUUGAAUGAGCCGAUGUCGGAUUAGCUAGUUGGCGGGGUAAAGGCCUACCAAGGCGACGAUCCGUAGCUGGUCUGAGAGGAUGAUCAGCCACACUGGAACUGAGACACGGUCCAGACUCCUACGGGAGGCAGCAGUGGGGAAUAUUGGACAAUGGGCGCAAGCCUGAUCCAGCCAUACCGCGUGAGUGAAGAAGGCCUUCGGGUUGUAAAGCCCUUUUGUUGGGAAAGAAAAGCAGCAGGUUAAUACCCCGCUGUUCUGACGGUACCCAAAGAAUAAGCACCGGCUAACUUCGUG